ensembl:lncRNA
UUUGCAUAAAUAAGUCUUUACUUUAUCACGGAAAUGGUUCAGUAUAAAAUUAUUCUUCAUCCAGUGAGGCUUUGAUUAGAAUCCAAAAAGUUAAAUCUUUCAUGUAACACAAAAACACACACAUAUGAAAGUACACAAGUGUGACAGAUUGAAGAUUGAACAAAAUAUACGACUGAUGACAAAUUGAUAGGUGCAAAAAAAUAAUAAUAAUCACAUAGAUAUACGCAGCUUGACCAUCGUUCUGUGCCUUCAUGUCCCCUAUAUGAGGUUUGCUAGGUUCUUCAAAUAUUUCCGUUGCUUUGAUGAACAUAUUCAAGGGUAACAAUCAAAAGACAAGUCAGGAAUGAGCAAUAAUUUAUACAAUUCUACACCUUUAUCACACACCGAGGUUAAGCUGUGCGGAAAUUGAGCUAUUUAAAAAAGCUCUGGAGGGGCCUUCGUAGAUAGCCCUAAUCCAUUACUCAUUACCUCAGUGAUAGCGAUCAAAUCGAGCGAUAAAUGAUCAUUUGGAAUAAAGGACAUGGCCUUAUCCCAUGUCCUUUAUUCCGGGUUCGAGCGUGGAGUCCACGGAACACAUUUUCCAUCCCAGUCAUCGAUUACACAUCAACCACCGGGUGGUGUCAUCGUGCUCAGCCAAUAACCUUUAGUUUUGAGUUUGUUGGCCUUUUUUAAAGUAAUCAACAGACCACUGAUACAUGAAUCAAUAAUGUGUGCUCAGGAGGGUUUCACGGGAGGUCUGCAAGUGCUGGACUAUGAUAUAAAUUAAACAAACACCCUCCUCCAACAAAUCCUGUCCAGAAUUAACAGAAGAUUGGUUUCCAUUUAUUACCUUCCCACCCAACACCCUGCCGUCCGUGGUAGAACUACAACGAGGUAUGAGAAAGACAAAACUAGCACAUCGGUUUGGGAGGCAGGAAGCACGGUCCCCAACGCCCAUAUAAGGGUCAGCAAGCGUGGGAACACAGCGAUAUUUCUCCCUUAUGACAGCCAUCACGGAUUCUUUCCCUCGGCCCGGUAACCCGUUCCGCGUGAUAGUGCUUAGUUUAAGGAAUGUGUGGAGAGGUCGGAACCAGUGGAGAAGUCGGCUUCGGUAGCCGCUGAUGGAUUCAUUCAUUCAUCCCCCUCUGAUUAACAGUCUGAUCAAUUGGAAAAAGUAAACAGGCAGUGUUUCGCUGUUGUUGUCGUGGUCAUUGUCUGAGCACAACUAUUGGAACUCGGCCAAAAUAAUGCUUCUCUGGUGUUUCUUCGACGGGGUGGUGCAGGAGCGUCUCUCCGUCGUCGCCCUCGGUUACGCCGUCGUUGGCGUCAAACCCCUCGCCUUCCGGGUCCACAGGGCCUGGACACGCUGCGCCCGCCGCCGCCGCUGCCGCCGCCGGCCCGCAGGUCUGUGGGCCGCCAUCCCCCUGCCCCAGCUCCUCCCCCACCCACGCCGGCGCGUCCCCGGGGCCCUCGGGCUCGUUGGGCUCGAACAUGCGUCCGUAGAAGCCGCCCGGAGCGUCGAGGAACUUGACGAUCCGCAUGGAGCUCCGGGUGGAUUUCUUCUUAGAGCCGAUGGUCAUGGCGUCCCCGCUUUGUGUUUUUUCCGACCGUGCUGGUUUCCUGGUUCGUUAUUUUUGUUGGGUUUAUUCACUGGUUUCUCUUGAGGGUUUCUGGAAGCU